GGUUGCGAUCAUACCAGCACUAAUGCACCGGAUCCCAUCAGAACUCCGCAGUUAAGCGUGCUUGGGCGAGAGUAGUACUAGGAUGGGUGACCCCCUGGGAAAUUCUCGUGUUGCAACCC
rnacentral:rRNA from 1 species